rnacentral:tRNA from 1 species
GUGCGCUGAUAGCAUUAUUGGUUUAAUGCGCCGAACGCAAUUCGGAGAUUCCAGGUUCGAAUCCUGGUAGCGUACU